CAAGGCACCAGGCUUUCUCCCAUGUUGUAGGGCCAGUGUCCCCUCCUCCAACACCCAUCUCUACCAGGCUCUCCAGAGCUGCUGGGUAGAGCCUCCCAAAAGCUCAGUGCCCAGCCCCCAUCACCCAGGGGCUGGGUGGCCAAGCUGAGUUAAGCUAGAAAGAACAGGAGAGUUCAGGAAGGAACAUGUGUCUCAGCUAACAGGGCAGGGUAGACUGUGCUGGAACGGUGGAAUAAGCUGAAUGCUGUCUGAACAGGGGCAUGGUGUGACUCCUUCCGAGAGAUCAGAAAUGCCACAGAAAGGACAAUGAGGUAGAAGGCACUAAGAACCAGGAGGCAAGGCUCCAGGCUUCAUUCUGUCAUGACCGGGUGGACGCCAGGAGCUGGCCCUAGUGAUGUUUGCAUUUGAACAACAGUGAGAUUGGGUGUCAGCUGCCCCAGGGGCGCCGAGGAAGAUGAAGAAAUGGAGCAGGCUGUCUCCAGGCAAAGGAGGAGAGAAGGGCAGAAUCCGGAUGGUAUGGAAUGAACAGCAAGGGAGGGAAGUGGAAAGGGGAAAUGGGAUUUGCUACUGCUCUAUCAAAUUACAGCGCGCAAAGCUAGCUCCAGGUGAUGGGCUCCUGAGUGUCACCGCCAGGGUACAAACCUCAGUUGUGCCCUCUACUUACUGUGUGACCAUGUGUGAAUGGGCAAACUCUCUGAACUUGAGUUUGCCUCUCAGCAAAACAGUACCUACUUCCUGGGACUGUCAGGGGCACUGAGUGAGAUGACAAGCGACCCUUAGCCCAGCACCUGGUACACAGCAAACACUCCAUCCAAUCCGGACACGAUUAUCAUUCUGCCAGAACUUCUGUGAAAUUUGGUUACAGGUAGGUGGCAAAGCCUGGGUUCUGGUCUUUCUGCUGAUCUCAACAGAUGGGUUUUGAAUAGGCAGGCUUACCUGAGUCACAGAUGACCCCUCUACCUUGACCUAUGAAAUCCAGAGCUCUAGAAAGGCAGACAAAAGCGCAGCAUCAACAUUUCACCUGCUAUUGCCGAAGUGAUAAAUAAUUAGAAUAUUACUUAAAGAUAUGCAGAUAUCUAGGUUGGCUAACCUUAAACCAUUGGAAAUCAGUGUUAAAUUUGUCCUAGUUUUUCCUCGGGCUUGCGUCUUCUGUAAAGGGGAUCUGUGCCUGCGUUAUAUAUAUAUCAUUUGAAAAAAAAAAAAAGGUUCUGCUGCUUUAAAAAAGAAAAAAGUUUGAAAUCCACCAUCCUAAAUAAGAGCACCUCCAGAUACAGGUCUGCACCUCUGAGACCUACUUCAAGUCAUUUGUCUCCGGAGGAGACGCCUCUUUGAGAGUCCUGAGCGUCCAGUGGGUUGAGACCAAACCCAGGGAAUUAUCGCUAAAGAAACCCAAGCCCCGCUUCGGAUAUGUGUUGGCAGUAAACACUGACUGUAUGAUGUAACUUUUUCUUUUGUUUUAAGAGACACUCCUUUCCUACCACUGAGGCAUUGCUGUCAAUUUAACAAAGCCAAAAUUGAGUUCAUGGAGAGAAGAGGGCCUCUUCCACUUCAAGGACUACAACCUUUGAAAAUGCAUUUAAAAGAGAGUAAAGUUUUUUUUAGAUGUGAAUAGCCAGAGACCCAGUGAGGUGUAGGAAAGGUGACCCUGCCAGAGGGCCUUCCCAAGACAAGGUUCACUCAGGUCAGCCGGUAGUCUGUCGCAGGUAAGAGGCAAGGGUCACCCUCUGCCCUCCUCCGCCCUGGCCCUGGCACCCUGGAGCCCUGACAGGUGACAACUUACUUGCAAGAGUAAGCAGCCCCCUCCUCGGGCGAGGGAGUGAGGAGGGGUUGGAGAGGCCAGUCAGUAAGAAGCAAAAGAAGAAAUCUUCCUUAAGAAAAUUACAAUCUCCACUUAGGGGCUAGGCUUGCCAUCCAGCCAGAGGGCUAACUUUUUUUUUUAAAGGAAUUUAUUGGGGCACCUGGGUGGCUCAGUCGGUUGUGCAUCCGACUCCGGCUCAGGUCAUGAUCUCAUAGCUCAUGAGUUCGAGCCCCGCGUCAGGCUCUGUGCUGACAGGUCAGAGCCUGGAGCCUGCUUUGGAUUCUGUGUCUCCUUCUCUCUCUGCCCCUCCCCUGCUUGUGCUCUGUCUCUCUCUGUCUCUCAAAAAUGAAUAAAUGUAAAAAAAAAAUUUUUUUUUAAAAACGAAUUUGUUGGAAGGAUACAGGGUCGCUCACUGAAUCAAAGGCAAAAACCAAAAUGUAUUAUGCCUUGGGAAGGACGGAACUAGGUGGCUCCUGGAAAUGCUAACUGGUGGCUUAUCUUUCUAGAAUGUGGGGAGAUGGAGGUGGCCUCCCUCACCUUCUCCUGCCCCAGCUUUGGGCAGAGUGAUUGACAGGUUCUCCCAACCAUAUCAAAGGAAGAGGGUGUAAUUCAAUUCCCCCAUGGGAAAAAUCACACUUUGGUUUUGACAAUUUAUCGUUUAUGUGUCUUUUUCUUGUGAGAAAAUAGCUUUUAGUCAAACUCCCAAACCAGUGAGAAAAGUUGGGCACUCUAUCAAAAUAACAGCGGAGGGGGUGGAGGAGAAGGUUCUUUUUAUCUCCUUCCAUCUUAAUACAUACUCUGGAUUAGAUGCUGAUUUAUUUGGCACUAAGGGCUGCUGUUAAUCAGUUAUAUGUCAGCAAUCAUUUCCAGCGACAUUUAAAUUAUAAAGCGCGGUGGGAUUAACUGCACUUUUGCAAAUUACCUCUUUAUAAAAGUAUGAGUAAACCUGAUGUGCACCCCGGGGGUGUCAUCACCCCCUGUCUACAUUUGCUGUGAUUCUGGGGAUUAUGACAAGGCUUGGUUUAAGCUGAUGAAUUCGGUAGGACGUGUUUAACAAAGCAUCUUGAGAGACCUGGGAUAGCCCAAGCCAGUUUCCAAAGUGACAACCAAAGACUUGUUAGGGUCACACCUAGCAGGAACCCCAGCUGAACUUGGGGACGGUGCCUGUCCUCCUGCCUAGCUGGUCCGGGCAUGCAGCUGACCCUUUGCAGAGCACACAGUGUCGAAGGCCUCACUUUGUCUGGAAGGUCUCUGGCCAUCUGUCCCUUCAGUGAGGAUUAGAAAGUUCAGAGCAGCAGGAAGGGGAAUUAUCAGUCCUUAGGGUCCUAACAGGCUCUAGGAAUUGUUUUUGGUUUUUCUGGGACUUCCCUCUUGAUUAUAUAAACAUUACUAAGAAACAACAAAACAAAAAUUAGGAAAAUACUGAAGAAAAUACUGAAGAAUACUGAAGCAAAGCCAAAAAAUGAAAUUACCCACAACCUUACAGCCCAGGACCACCAACAGCAUUUUCAGACCCUGGCUUUAGGCUUCCCCUGAGGACACGGGGGAGGGCAUGCUCAUAUGUGUUCACCUAUGCUGUUGUCAGUGCUUUCAAGGAAACAAAUAGGGAAUAAAUAACUAAACAUAUGUGCAUAAUUAGGGUCAUAAUAUAUGCCUAUUUUCACAUCCUGCAUUUUUCACUUAACCGGAUAUUGUGUUUUCCCUGUGCCAUUCUAGUCUUCAAAAAUAACAUUUUGGGGCGCCUGGGUGGCUCAGUCUGUUAAGCAUCUGACUCUUGGUUUUUGCUCAUAAUCUCACAGUUCGUGAGUUCAAGCCCUGCAUCUGGCUCUGUGCUGACAGUGCAGAGCCUGCUUGGGUUUCUCUCUCUCCCUCUCUCUCUCUCUCUCUCUCUCUCUCUGCCCCUUCCCCACUUGUGCUUGCUCUCUCUCUUUCUCUCUCAGAAUAAAUAAACAUUUAAAAAGUUUAAAUAACAUUGUGAUAACAUGUGCUUUGGUUUUAAACAUGACGCAGGCCCUUGGUGAGGACCUCUGCGGCACACAUCACGGUACGUGGCCCUGGUUAGCUCACCAUUAGACCCUAAUCAUGGCUUACACCUUGUCCUUGUGUCUCCACUUCACUUUUUCCUGUUCCUGAGUCAACUUCCACGUGUGUGUGCAUAUUUCUGCAUUUUUACUUCUGUGCAUUUAUACUUUUCGUACUCCCAUUUCCUCACAUUACUCAUGUGGUGAGUUUUUUUUUUUUUUUUAGUUUCUUUCUUUUAAGAGAGAGUGCGUACGAGUGGGGGAGGGACAGAGAGAGAGAGGGAGAGAGAGAGAGAGAGAGAGAGAGAGAAUCCCACUCAGGCUCCACACCGUCAGUGCAGAGCCCCAUGCAGGGCUAGAACUCACGAUCCAUGAGAUUGUGACCUGAGCCAAAACCAAGAGCCAGAUGCUUAACCAACUAAGCCACCCAGGCACCUCUUAAAUUCUGUUUUUAAACCUCACCUGAAUGACAAACAAAUAUUACAUUAUACGAUGGUACCCUAUUUUGCCUCUCCAAUACCCAAUUUGGGGACACUGGGUUGUUUCUAAUGUCUAGUAUGAUAAAUAGUGCCGCAAAGAACAUCUUGCCCCAUGAAACUUUAUGUUUGUCUCUAAUGUUUUCUGGAAUCUUUGGGAAAUUAAUUAAAACUUUGGCUCAGUUCUAUGUUAGGCUAAAAGGCUGUCACUGCUGCCCGCCCCCAGCCCACUUAGUGGAUACUGAAAUUCUCACUGAAGUGACAAGGGGUUUCUGUUUUGACAGGAUGCUUCCAGUGACAGAGCGCUCACUACCAACUGCUCACAUUUGGGCAUCACAAACAAGGUCCUUCCUUUGAUCAAAACAGAAUUUAGUGCUACAAAUCAGGGACAUGGAGAACUAGUUAGUUCUUUCCCAUGGGUUCUUCACAUAGUCAGACAUGUCUCUACGCCUUCCUCCUCCAUUCUAAUGAACUUGAGUCAUUAGAGUUUCCUUCUGGGGGCACCUGGGUGGCUCAGUUUUUUGAGCAUCUGACUCUUGACCUUGACUCGGGUCAUGAUCUCACAGUCGUGAGAUCAAGCCCCCUGUUGGGCUCUGCUCUGGACAUGGAGCCUGCGUGGGAUUCUCCCUCUCCCUGUCUCUCUCUUCCUCUCUCUCUGGCCCUCCCCCACUCUCCCUUUCUCAGAAAACAAAGAAUUUAAGAGUUUUCUUCUUCUGAGGAAGGGUGGGGGAAACCCCUCCCCAUCAUGGGCUCUUUCCUCUGGAUCCCCCCUGGUGCCUUCAUCCCUCCUAGCCUUUGCAGGCAUUCUGCAAUUCAUAUGUAUUUAGGAGAAUAAAUCUUGAAUGCACUCUAACUGAUAAGGUGUAGAUGUACCACAGCUACACCCUGGGGACAGCUGUUGCAUCAGGGUUGAGCUCACCUGCCACCUUUGCAGCCCGACCAUCCUGGUCCUUGGCCCUGCUCCAGCCCUCAGUGGCUGUGUGACUUUGAGCACGUUCCUGAACUUCUCUGGGCCACCUAUGUUGUAGGAGGAAUGAGGUGAGAUGACACACGUGCAGAACUCACAGGGGGCAGCACAGGGUCUGCCCUAGGUGCUGCUAGACCACCCCGGUGGUCGGAUUCCAGCAGCGAAUUCUCCACCCGGCAACUGCAAGACGACACAGAAGACACAUGCCAUUCAAUGCCCCCUUAGAUCCUACAGGGACAAACUCUCUGGUCCCAGUGGAACGAAGCACCCAGGGUUUCCAGUGUGCCCACAGGUUGCCAUAUGGUGGGGAAGAGCGUGAUGAGGAGCUCACCAGACACUACCGGUGUGCUUGGACCUGUUUAUCUGGAGCAUCCCUGACAGGGACACAGGGGCUGUAAGUCAGACAUGCCCAGUAAGUAGGGAGGCUUCAGGCAUGGCUGGUUUCAGGUCACCUGCUCAGCUCUGCUGCUGAGAUGCUGACCAGACACACACACACACACACACACACACACACACACACACACACACACCCUUUUCAGCAGGCAACUCCCAGAUCCAGGACCUCAAGACCUGGGAUCAGCUCUGGAAAUGGAACAAAUAAAAGCCCAAAAACAAAAGAAAAUAAAGAAGACAGGUCUUGGUUUAGCCUUCCGAAGUACGUGGCAUUCUGCAUGCUGCUGUGAUCUGGUCAGAAAUGAAGAUGUUUGCAGGCUGGUUACAAUAAGAUUUGGGGAAGGGAAUGAAAGAAUGGCUGGAACCACUCUGCAGGUCUGAUGAGAAGACCUACCGCUCCCAUCAUCCCCAGUUCUGAUCCAGCGGCACCUAAGAGCUGUACAAGAGGCAGCUCAGAGGGAGAACCGAGGGCCUGGGGCUUCCCUGUUCUCCAGGAAGCCCCCAGGCCCACAGCUCGGGUGACAAGGGGACAAGCAAGUCAGGAGGGUGGAGAGCUGCCUAAAUUUCAUUAACUCAGAGCCUCUGGAUGGAGCUCGUAAGAUGUCUGUGAACGAAGCGUUGAAACCUUUCAUUGUUUCAAGCACUGAUGAUCAUUUUCUCUCCCUGCUGCAUUUAUAGUCGUCACUGCUGCUAAGAUGCCUGUUUCGUUAUGGUCCGUGCCUCACCAGGGUAACUAGAGUCCAAGAGAGGCCUUGUGCUGCACGCCCCAGUACAUCCAGUACAUCCAGCACAAACCAGUACAAUGUGCCUUCGCACGGCCAUUCCUUCUGGGCAGAAGACCUGUCUCUGUCCUGUCCAUUGUGUAAACUCCUAUUCAUCUUUUGAAACCCUUUUCAAAGGCGUUGAAACUGAGAAACCUGGGAAUCAUCCGUUUCUGACAGCUCUCCUUCUGAGCCUACAACCAGUUCCCACUGCCUCUACCUCGGGGAUCGCUCCCCUCCCUUCCACCCUCACCGCACUGCCGACAGGCCUCAGCACCUGUCCCCCAACACGGCCUGCCUCUAAGUACCAAGUACUGGACCAGGUCUGCACUCCUGAGCGAUGAAAGGGCACAGGCCUUAGAAAUAAGAAGACCCAGGUUGAAAAAUGGCUCUGCCACCUAUGACGACCACCUUCUUGAGUUUUCUGGGCCUCAGGCUCCCCCUGGAAAAUGGAGAUAAAGUAAACAACCACAGAGGAUUGCAGUGAGAAAUGAAGCACACGGUGUUUGUAAAGUGCUUGGAGCAGCACUGGCCUGUCCCCCACUAGGUGAGGCCACAGCAAGGAGACAGUCAUCUGCAACACAGGAAGAGGAGCUCCACCAUAACCUGCUCGUGCUGGCCCCUUGAUCUCAGGUGUCCAGCCCCCAGAACUACGAGAAAUAAAUGACUGAUGAGCAAGCUUCCCCCUCCCCGCCCCCGCCAUCUGUGGCAUUUUAUUAUGGGAGCCUGGACUCAUACAGGCGUUAUAUGAUUAGAACUGACAGACACCGAAGCCGGUUGAUUCAAGGGCGAGGUCCAGGCUGGAGAUACAAACCCAGGAGGCCUCAGCACACGGACAAAUUUACAGACCCAGCCAUAAAGGAGGAAGGUGAAGUUUAACUGUACCUUGAUAUUCAAUUAGACAGAAGGGUACCAAUAAACCUUGGAAAUGCCAACGCCAAA